rnacentral:rRNA from 1 species
AUUGAACGCUGGCGGUAGGCCUAACACAUGCAAGUCGAACGGCAGCACGGUGAGUGCUUGCUCUUACGGGUGGCGACUGGCGGACAGGUCCUGAAAAUAUCGGAAUCUACUUUUUCGAAGGGGCUAAAGCAGGGGCACUUACGCUAAUACCCCAUACGAACUACGGGUGGGAUCAGCGGAUCUUAGGACAUUGCAUGAUUGAAUGAGCCUAUGUCGGAUUAGCUAGUUGGCGGGGUAACGGCCCAACAAGGCGACGAUCCGUAGCUGGUCUGAGAGGAUGAUCAGCCACACUGGAACUGAGACACGGUCCAGACUCCUACGGGAGGCAGCAGUGGGGAAUAUUGGACAAUGGGCGCAAGCCUGAUCCAGCCAUACCGCGUGUGUGAAGAAGGCCUUCGGGUUGUAAAGCCCUUUUGGUUGGAAAGAAAAGCAGCAGGUUAAUACCCCGCUGUUCUGACGUUACCAAAAGAAUAAGCACCGGCUAACUUCGUG